rnacentral:rRNA from 1 species
GAUGAACGCUGGCGGCGUGUCUAAGGCAUGCAAGUCGAAUGGGUUUAGACCCAUGGCAAACGGGAGAGUAACACAUUGGUAACCUGCCCUCAACCGGAGAAUAACUUGCCGAAAGGUGAGAUAAUACUCCAUUAAUUAGUUAGUCCUAUGGCUAACUAAUAAAGAUUUAUCGGUUGAGGAGGGGCCUAUGGUCUAUCAGCUUGUUGGUAGUGUAAAGGACUACCAAGGCAUUGACGGAUAGCGGGUGUGAGAGCACGACCCGUCUCACUGGGACUGAGACACUGCCCAGACACCUACGGGUGGCAG